UACGUAGGGGGCAAGCGUUGUCCGGAGUUACUGGGCGUAAAGCGCACGCAGGCGGUCUGCUAAGUUUGGAGUGACAGUUUUCGGCUUAACCGAGAAAGUGCUUUGAAAACUGACAGACUUGAGGGCUUCAGAGGGACACGGAAUUCCGGGUGGAGUGGUGAAAUGCGUAGAGAUCCGGAGGAACACCGAAGGCGAAGGCAGUGUCCUGGGGAGUACCUGACGCUCAGGUGCGAAAGCCAGGGGAGCGAACGGG
rnacentral:rRNA from 1 species